ensembl:lncRNA
CGGACACGGGUCGGGCUUGGACAGAAAAAUUCGGUCUGAUCCAUGCUCUAAUGUGUGUGUGUGUGUGUGCUCUAAUGUGCAUUCAGCCCUGUUGUGUGUCAGAUUGAGGCUUUUGUGUGAGUGUGUGUGUCUCUGUGUGUGGCAUGGUGGCUCAGGUGCUUGGCUCACAGCAAGAAGGUCCUGGGUUCGAUUCCCGCAUGGGGCGCUGUUGGCUCUGGGGGGCAGGUCCUCCCCAGACCUCAUUGCUCAGGUGGGCUAUCUCCUGGGCCUUUCUGUGUGGAGUUUGCAUGUUCUCCCCGUGUUCACAAGGGGUUUCCUCCACUAAGAACCCCAACAGAAAAACAUGCAAAAGAACACUCUCCUGAUCAAGACGGACGGUUCAAGAUUGAGGUGUGUGUGUGUGUAAAAUUGAGGUGUGUGUGUGUGUGUGUAAGAUUGAGGUGUGUGUGUGUGUGUGUAAGAUUGAGGUGUGUGUGUUUGUGUGUGUAAGAUUGAGGCUUGUGUGUCAGUAGGGCAGCAGACAUAAGGACAUUAUUCUGAGAAACGCACACAAACUUGAUUAGUUGAUUAGCUGAAAUGUGAAACUUUCUGCUGACAGAAGUCUAGGGUUCACACACACACACACACCUCUUCUUAUCUGACCUCCUAUCAUUUCCUGUGGUGAAACUACGAAGCCCAGUUCAUACAAAAACAGGCACAUGAGAACACACACACCAGGGACACACACUCACACUCUCACACACACAUCCAAAGACACACACUCACACUCUCACACACACACCAGGGACACACACUCACACUCUCACACACACAUCCAAAGACACACACUCACACACUCACACACACAUCCAAAGACACACACUCACACACUCACACACACAUCAGGGACACACACUCACACUCUCACACACACAUCCAAAGACACACACUCACACACUCACACACACAUCCAAAGACACACACUCACACUCUCACACACACAUCCAAAGACACACACUCACACACACACCAGGGACACACACUCACACUCUCACACACACAUCCAAAGACACACACUCACACACUCACACACCAGGGACACACACUCACACUCUCACACACACAUCCGAAGACACACACUCACACUCUCACACACACACACCAUGGAUGGCUUUUAGACUAGUGUGUGUGUGUGUGUGUGUGUGUGUGUGUGUGUGUGUGUGUGUGGUAGAGACAGACAGUGAACAGAUAACAUGCAACAUGCUCUGAUGACUGUCAUGCUUUUGCAGAUCGUUUGUUUGGUGGCGUCAGAGCGGACGACACACACGAGGAUCAGCCUGAGGGACGCUACGCUCUGAUUGGUGCAGGGGUGGGUCUGAUUCUGGCCAUCAUGUUCGUCGCCGUGAAGCUCUGCAUGAUUAAGAGACACAUGCUGGACAACGGGUUCGUAUCAGAGGACUCAAUGAGAAAACAGUCCCUGCGGACUCAGAGCAUCCGGCUGAACAGAAGAGAAGCACCAGACCAGCCCUGAACACCAGUUUACCCCGUUUCACAUGAUGUGUGUGUGUGUGUGUGUGAGUGUGUGUGUGAGUGUGUGUGUGUGUGUGUGGCUGUCUCUGGCUGUGUCGCUGUGUGUUACGAACCUGUCCCUUUUUAGUUAUUAUUCCCCAGCGAGUUUGGCCCACCCUGGUGGUGAGUUAAUAUUGUUUGUCACGUCUUUUUCCCAUUUAGUAAAUUGAAGCCGUCAUUGGCCGACGCUUGAUCAUCCCCAGCAUAAAAGGGCUGCCUCAUUGCCUCACAGAGAAGCAUGCCUGAGAGAUCGCCAUUUCGUUGGACGCAACCAUUUUUGGAUUUAGCUUUUUGUGGACAUUCGGGCCUUUGGCCAACUUGACUCUGCUGGAACGCCGCGCAGCCUCACCGUGCUGCCUGGCCCCAGCUUUUGUGGACUAGAAUGUCCUUUGUUGCAGUUUGUGUCUGCCUUACCGGCAUUUGCUUGCCCGUUUGGCGUCUUUGUUACACCUGUGGUCUCUUUAGACCCUUUUUGAGUUAAUGGUUAAUAAAAACCACUUAGAACAACC